AACGAACGCUGGCGGCAUGCCUAACACAUGCAAGUCGAACGAGAACUGCGGGUAUAGUGGCGCACGGGUGAGUAACGCGUGGGAACCUGCCCUUAGGUUCGGAAUAACCCCCCGAAAGGGGUGCAAAUCCCGGAUAAUGUCCUCGGACCACAGAUUUAUCGACUUUGGAUGGGCCCGCGUUGGAUUAGCUAGUUGGUAGGGUAAAAGCCUACCAAGGCGACGAGCCAUAGCUGGUCUGAGAGGAUGAUCAGCCACACUGGGACUGAGACACGGCCCAGACUCCUACGGGAGGCAGCAGUGGGGAAUAUUGGACAAUGGGCGAAAGCCUGAUCCAGCAAUGCCGCGUGAGUGAUGAAGGCCUUAGGGUUGUAAAGCUCUUUUACCCGGGAUGAUAAUGACAGUACCGGGAGAAUAAGCUCCGGCUAACUCCGUG
rnacentral:rRNA from 1 species